CGCCGCGCCAUGGCAUAAGCUCACCGGACCUUCGGUCCAGGUGAGCUAAAAAUUAUAUUUUCUUUCAAUGGUCAAAAAAGUUGUUGGGUCGUUCUCAGUUAUUCAGCAAAUCAGUACCAUGGAACUUUGAUGAUAAUUUGUGAUGAAAAUAAAAUAUAUUUUGGCAUGUAUGUUGUAUUUUGUUUUUAAAUGUAACUUGAAUAAAUACUAAAGAUAGUUAUAUGAUGAUAUGGUAAGGAAUAAAAAUAUUACAAAAGUUUCAAAAUGAAAAACAUCAGUUUUGCCCGCGACCAUUUGGGGACAUUUUUUCAUAGGCAUAUUCAAUAAUUGUAUUGGUUAUUGUCGAAGGAACCAUUAAUGCACAAAUAUGGAAUGUGAAAAAGCAUAAACAAAAGGACAAAAUACAGGUGUCUGAAAACGAAAAUGUCAACAAAAUGUAUAUUAUUUUAAUAAUUAAAAUCUGCGUACGGACGUUACCGUGUCGGUCAAAGUUUGUGUAGCACUUGCGAUGUGUCUACAGAUUUAGCCAAUCAUGGGCAAUAGUAUUUGCACGUAGGGGGGUUUAGGUUGUUCUUUAAAUUUACUUUCAAAUCAAAAUGACAUGUGUAGGGUUUCGCAACAAAAAGAUAUCGCCAAGCUUUUCCUAACAUGGGAAUGUCGGUCAAUAUGUAAUGUCCAAAACGAAUCCUCGUUUAUCUUCAAUUUUACACUCGUGCCUAAACCAACAUCCCUAAAUGGAUCCUUGGACUCGUCCUAAGCUCACGUCAUCAGUUUGUGUGUACACAACGCGCAAAUCCGCUGUCGCGAUUGAGGUAAGUGUUCACGGUCAAACGAAAUGCGAUAGUGUAACAUCCACAACAUGUCAUAACUGUGAGAUAUUGUAUAAACAGUGAAUCUAUACAGCUUGGUUAUCGAUGCAUAUAAUACACAUUAUAAUAAACUAUUAAUUUAGAUCGAUAGAAAAUGACGGACAUCGCUGACAGUUAUACAAAAGCCAUCUCGUCAUACGGACGUUACACUUUGACAAUAUUCUUGACGUUUUGGACGUCGCUACGUAACGUCCGUACUCUUUAAUGGAAUUAACAGUUUUUUGUGAAGAUGAUUUAUUAACAAAGACUUGAGAUCGUAGCACUUUACGAAGUAAAAUAACAUAAUAUCCAAGUCUAGUAGAUAUUGUCUUCAAGUCGCAUUCAAAUGAUGUGUCGUGUUUUGGAUGUUAUAGCUUGACACAAGAAGGCUUGUUGUGGAUGUGACUGUGAAUUGUAUUUGAAGACUUUGAUGCCUGAAGUGCCGUGCCCCAACAGAAAAAAUAAACAAUAAAAUUUGACUGUUCAGAGCUC